UACGUAGGGUGCGAGCGUUGUCCGGAAUUAUUGGGCGUAAAGAGCUCGUAGGUGGUUUGUUGCGUCUGCCGUGAAAACCCGAGGCUUAACCUCGUGGCUUGCGGUGGAUACGGGCAGACUUGAGGUAGGUAGGGGAGAAUGGAAUUCCCGGUGUAGCGGUGAAAUGCGCAGAUAUCGGGAGGAACACCGGUGGCGAAGGCGGCGAACUGGACAGCAACUGACACUCAACUGCGAAAGCGUGGGGAGCAAACAGG
rnacentral:rRNA from 1 species